UNCCAUGUGUAGCGGUGAAAUGCGUAGAUAUAUGGAGGAACACCAGUGGCGAAAGCGGCUCUCUGGUCUGUCACUGACGCUGAGGCUCGAAAGCGUGGGUAGCGAACAGGAUUAGAUACCCUGGUAGUNCACGCCGUAAACGAUGAGUGCUAGGUGUUAGGCCCUUUCCGGGGCUUAGUGCCGGAGCUAACGCAAUAAGCACUCCGCCUGGGGAGUACGACCGCAAGGUUGAAACUCAAAGGAAUUGACGGGGGCCCGCACAAGCGGUGGAGCAUGUGGUUUAAUUCGAAGCAACGCGAAGAACCUUACCAGGUCUUGACAUCCCGAUGCUAUUCUUAGAGAUAGGAAGUUACUUCGGUACAUCGGAGACAGGUGGUGCAUGGUUGUCGUCAGCUCGUGUCGUGAGAUGUUGGGUUAAGUCCCGCAACGAGCGCAACCCUUAUUGUUAGUUGCCAUCAUUAAGUUGGGCACUCUAGCGAGACUGCCGGUAAUAAACCGGAGGAAGGUGGGGAUGACGUCAAAUCAUCAUGCCCCUUAUGACCUGGGCUACACACGUGCUACAAUGGUCGGUACAACGAGUUGCGAGCCGGUGACGGCAAGCUAAUCUCUGAAAGCCGAUCUCAGUUCGGAUUGGAGGCUGCAACUCGCCUCCAUGGAGUCGGAAUCGCUAGUAAUCGCGGAUCAGCACGCCGCGGUGAAUACGUUCCCGGGCCUUGUACACACCGCCCGUCACACCACGAGAGUUUGUAACACCCGUAGU
rnacentral:rRNA from 1 species